CCAUCUGCAACCUUGAGCCUCCACAUUUUCAAACUCACCAAACUGACGAGAUAUAUCUCUAUAUAUAUCUAAGUUUACAAAUAUGUGUCUCCCUUCCGAAAACACCUGCUGAUCAUGCAAUCACCAGAAAGGUAAGAAAAGCUUUUCUUUGCAAUAAAAUUAAGUUAAAAUGAUACAGACCAAGGACAGAGAGAUAGGUGCUGGGUGGGCAGAGAAGAGAGAAGCUUCAGAAACUUGGAAUGGCGAGUUCCAGGAGGGAAUCGCUCAUUCAUAUAGAAGCACAGCAGCAAGUCAAUCACCAACCCCCAUGACUUGUAUUUAUGAAUGAGACUAUUAACACUUAAUUUAUGCUUAUCUAUAUAUAUGAAGUGAUGUCAGCCAUAGUAACUUGAUUUCUAAAUUCAUGAAUCUUGUAACAGACCCUGAUAGAUAUCAGUCCUUCAAUCAUAAAAUUAAUAUGGUUUAAGACAUACAGUCCCUGAUACAUCAAUUAGUUAUGUUUAAGUGACGUUUCACCAAUUUUUCCCCAACGUCCAACAAAAGUCUCAAUUAAAGCACAAAAAAUUUAAUUUAGAUGGUGGACAUGUGAAAAAUUCCAGUUUUGCAAAGAAAAAAAAAAAGAAAAAAAAAAGAAAAAAAAAGAAAAAAAAAAAAGAAAAGGAAAUAAUUGACCUUCUGUGUUGUUGCCACCAGUUAUGAUGGGUGUUCAUUUUUAGAGAGAAUUGUGCUUAAGGGAGUCCACUUGUUCAUAAUGGGUCAAACAUCCUUCAAAAUCUUAUAAUUGACAAUUGAUAAGAAGGAUAUAAACUUUAGAGAGACCAGGGUACCCUUCAAAGUUGUUAUGUCCCUUAACACCAAUACUUUCACCGAUUGUUGAAUUAGAAAAGUUAUCAAUUCAUGGUUUAUUCAUCAGACUGACAGGCAAACUAUAGUCGAAAUUAACCUAAACUAAAACAAGAAUUUAAAAAGAGAACUUACGUUCAACCGUGUAAGAGGGGCUGCUAUUAGAACACUCUUAAUCCUUCCAAUCUGAUGCCUUAUAUGCUACAUGUUCUAAAAGAAAAUCCCGAGACGUCCUCAAAGUGGCAGCUUCUGUGAUCUUCUUUGCAUGGUAUGGUUGCCCUCCAAAUUUCAUCAAAACGUGUGGAUGUCUUUCACAAAAUCUGGUGGUGCCAUAUUCUUAAAGUGGAAGCCUUUUUUUUUUUUUUUACACAAAAAAUAAACUGAUAUGUAGUGGAGGUUCAAAGUGGCAACCUUAUUCUCAUCCUAGUAGUGCGUGGUGGAUACCUCUCACAAAAUCUGGUGGUGCAAAAAUCUGUGCGUGGAGGGGCUUUUUUAGUGGCAGCGUGCUGUGUAAAAUCCACAGAUGCAGCCUUGAUGGAGAUCUCUUGCUAAUGCAUAAUCAGUCCGGUACGUCUUAAGGAAGAUUCAGACAUUCAAUGCAUGCAGUUCCCUAUUCUCUUCGAGUAACAAGGAUUGUUCAAGCUUUAACUCAGCAAAAGUAUAGCCUGAAAAUCAUAUAUCAAUGAUUAUGGUGCAUUCUGUUGCUUCAAUUGAUAGAAGCAUUGCUGCCUGACCAUAUGUCGUGCCACUGUUUCAGUUCCGACAAUCUCCAUCUUCUCAUUCCAUUUUCCAGUAGAAUUUAUAUGGAGAUAUAUAGUCUUUGUGGGGUUGUCGAAAUCCAACCACAUGAAUUGAGAGUAAGAAGCUUAGCUAUUACAGGUAUGACGGGCAUGCCUAAACAAUAAUUUCAAGUUUCUAAGAGCAGUAGAUCCCUUCAAAUCCUCAGAUUUUAGAAACAUAGGCCAAAAAAAUACUCAGACUUCUCCACCCCGCAACCAUUCCAUUGCAAUUGUAAAUAUGCAGUAAGUAUAACCAGUCCAGUCUUGAAGGCCACUUCUUGUGCCACUGUAUUGGCUUUCAUUUUGGAAUGGUUAGAUAUGCAGGAAGCUUGUUUUAUCAAAGAAGCAAGACCUUUCGAUGUUUAUGGAUGAAUUCCUCUUGUCAGCAUUGGUUCUUUAAUAUUCACCAAAAAGUGAACAAGCUUGGAGCCUUAGGUAGAUAUUUUACAAAGCCUUCUGUACUGUUAUCUUAUGCUAAGUACUGAAUAUAAAUGUUGUUGAGGGUACCACCAGUGACAUGCAGAUGCAAUGUUUAUUAUGAGAACACCAACGGCAUAGUGCAUCAACGGAUAUUUGAGUUUUCCGAGAAGGAGGCCUUUACAUCAUCGACCAGAUCUGGAUUAUUUGAAUUUAGCAAGGUCCUGCUAUUGUUUUAUUCUCUUGCACAAACUAUUCUUCAAAAUAUGUUACCAUGACAUAGAUAAACUUUUCAUUUGCUUAACAUUGUUCAAAGGGCUUGACAUUGCUCAACAUUAUCUGAGCUUUUCUCCUACAGAUGCUUCUUUGGCAUGGCAAUGCAACCAGACUUAAGGCGAUGGCACUCACUUACAUACUCUGCAAGAGCCCACAAUGGAAAAAUAUUCCUGUAAUCUGCAUAGUGUAACAUGCAGUUCUUCAUGAAGGCUCCAGUGAUUUCCUGCCAUAGAUAAUUGAUGAUCAAAUGGUUAGACUACCACCCAGUAUAUAUAGUCAGCUACAAAAGAACAUCAUUUUCCAUUUCCCAAAACCAUGUUAAAAUGUUACACCUUUGGUUUUUUAUUCAUGUUCAAGUGAGCUACCUGUUGGGGAAAAUCACCAUCUUCCAUUUGGGAAUUAAUCAACAGCUUUGCAGCCCUGUGAAGGGGUGUUGGGUCUCUCUCCGCCUGUUAUAAAGGAAGGUUAGACUCAGAUGUUUGGGGAUAAGCCAUAUUGUGAAAAUAAUGUAGAAGACCAAGUUAAGCUUAUUGAUGGUGGAACUGUAUAAACUGACCUGCCCAGAAGAAAGCAGCCCCAUCAGAGCCCACCCGGUUUGUACCAGAUUUGACUUGUUUCCUUCAAGAUGUGUAAGUUUCUGUAUCACCAAGCACAAGGAUUACUUGUUUUUCUGCAUGUAUCUACCAGAGAACAGAGCAGUGGGUGGCAAGUAAGAAUUACCUUGUCCUGGCAAGAAAUAUAGCUCUCUCCCCAACCACCAUCAUCUCUUUGUGAUUUGAGUAGAAACUCAACAGCUCUACCAAUAGCAAGACAGUUGUGGUAAGUCCUGCCAGCAGCUGCUAGGCCCCCAAGUGCAAACCAUGAGCCAUAGGUGAAACAUACUCCCCAAUUGCCAUACCUGGUGAAAUGAUUCCUUGUUUAAAUGGAUCUGCACUGCAUAUAUAAAAAGAGCUUUCCCCAGUGAAAUGGUAAUAGUGGAGUUGAGAAACAUACCAUGAGCCAUCAGGCAUUUGUUGGUCUUCAAUGUACUUGGUAGCAUUUGUGAUGAAAUUGUCUAUCUCCUUCGUCCUGUGUUGGGGGUAUAACUUCUUAAACAAAACCAGAGCCUGAAUUGCUGAUGCAGUGCACUCGACAUACCUGGAUCAUCAUUUUGUUAGUCUUCAAGGAAGUUAAAAGCUAGUAGAGUUAGAAAAAAAAGCUGGUCUAUUAUCAAGAAUUUUACUCAUGCUCGAUGACAAUGUCUUCAAAAAUUUCAGAGGGGUUGAACAGCUGAAAAGAGAAGGGAUUGACAUUGAUUUAGAUUCAAAGAAUACAGAGAGAGAGAUAAAACGGAAACAUUGAACUUACUUAAACAAGUUGAAGUAAUUUACCUCCAACCAUUCUGAAGCUCCUGCAGGCUCCCAGACUGCUAAACCACCAUUUUUACUCUGCAGUGGCUUUGAAAACAAGGGUUAUUGAUACUAAGAAGUUAUAACCUGUUUUGUGAUGGGGACAACCAUGGAAAUGGCCCAAGGAAGAUGAUUCUCACCUGUAGGGAAAGCAGGAUGUUGACAGAAUCAAAUAGUCGUUCGGGUUCCAUACCAACAAUUUCUGGUGCCAUCAUUGAAAAGAGGAGACAACACUGUAACAGAGGGUACUUCAGUGAGAAACCAAGUGACUUUAGUUAAUCUACAAGCCCUGACUCAAUUAAGUGUUUGAACAAAAAAAAUUACCUUCAAACCUUCUGCAGUGCAAUCAGAAACUUGCCAACCAUGAUCCUGAUCUGAGAAUGUCCACGAUCCUUGGGAAAUUUUGCGAUACAUGCUUUUAAAGUCACCAGAAGGAUUGUCCUUGACCUUCAAGAUUUCAAGCAAUAUGAAGCAAAUAGACCAUGAGAAACCCAAGUAGAUUCUGGUUGAAGUCAAGACACAAACCUGAGAUUCCUUUAUGAAUUCAUGUCCUUUCUUGAGUGUAGGUCCAAUUUCAUUUGUCAUAUUGCAAGCUAGCAGGGCUUGAAGGGCAAAACCAGUGUCCCACUCUUGACUACCAAAGGUCUACAACAAUCGACAAUUUCAAAACCAAUUUAGGCAGGAGAGGAUAAAAGCAUAGCUUCAAACCAGUUGCACACUUGAAAUAUUUUAAGAAAAAGAUGAAUAGAUAUUAUCUAAUUUUCCUACAACUGUUUGGGAGAUUAGUGAUUGAAUUAACUUGUCUUCUGACCUGCAUCUUUAUUCCAUCUUCUGCAACCCAUAUAAAAUCUGGGAUCCUAGCAAGGUGCUUCUUGAAAUAAUCCCCAUUUGGAUCUUCAACCCAACAUGUGAGCAUACACAAUGCCUGUUCAACUUAAGCCAUAUCAGUAUCCUAAAGAACUGACAUAUUGUCUAAAUAGAAGUUAUCCACUGCAGAAAAAAACCUUCUCCACACUUGCAAUAGUGAUGUAUCUACUGUUUUCAUCUUCAUAAUGGAUGUGUUUCAUUGUUACUUCAAGAGCCUUCUGUCUCAACUUGUUGAAGGGCCAACGAGUAAGAAGAGGCUCGGUACAUAUGUACAAACUAUCCCACAUCAGAUCUUGUAUUAGGGGAUGGGGGUAGUAGAGAUCCUCCUACAAUAAACAUAUUUGAAUGUGUGUUUCAUGCAUGCGUAGCAUAUUCAUCGGAAAAGGAAAAGUGUUCCAUACAAAAUCAAAACUUACCUUUGCACAAAGAUGCCGUACUUUUUUCCAGUUGAUUUCAUUAUAUGCUUGAAGGAAGAGCUCUUCUCUUAGUUCUAGAACAAGAGGCGUGAUUGGGCCAACGAAUCGUUUACCAUAUAGGUAUGACAUGGGCAUGUAAACCAACCGACUGUAGCACCACAUUUUUGCUGCAUUUAUGGACUCAAAUUACAAGAAGCUCAACCAACGAUAGGAAAAUGAAAGUUAGACCAAAGUAGACAUGGGAAUGUCAUUUCUUGAGACUAAUAAACCAUCCCCAGGUUGAAUUUUUAAGUAUUCAUGCGUGAUCUUAUAAUUGUAUAAGGCUGAAGUUACACAGCUUUUGGCUUAAACAUUUCGAGUCCGUGUGACCAAUUCCAAGUUUUAUGUAAGAAGACCCUAGGAUGUAAAAUGCAUUAAGUGCAGAAGUAGAUGUGAAAUUCAAGCACUUGAGUAGAUGACUACAGCACAAACCUGGAUGCAUAGGAAGACGAGAAGGGAAAAGCCAAAACUCUGGGGGCAUUGGGUUGCUUCCUGACCAGUCAAACAAGCCAAAAAUCUACACGGAAGAAGGAAUAUCAUAUAAGAUUCAGUCCAUCACACAAGAAUGCAUUGUAUAGGAUGAAUGUGAACUUGUGUUUCAAGUGGCCAUACUGAAAGCCAAGUCUUUCCCCAAGAGGGAAUGGAUGUCACUCCACCACGAUCGAGGAUCCAUUUACGCCCUCUUGCACAAGCAUUGUCUCUACCACCAUCGCGCCCUUCUCCAAGGAUACGCAUACAAAUGUAGCUGAGUGUUGUACAAAACAUUGUGCUGUGUCCCUCAAUAUGCAAUCCCCACCCACCAUCUUCAUUCUGCCAUGUACAUAAGCCAUUUUCAUACUUCAAAGCUCCAAGCCCAUUUAUGAGGUUAGGAUGAUGACUAGGUUCAAAAUAUAUAUACCUGAUGACAGUAUAGGUAGCGAAGAAUUUCUUUACGAUAUUCUCCAGGGAAUACAGUGUCAAGAUGCCCUGUAAUGUAUAGACACAUGACCUGCAUUUUCCAUGAAAUUAUUCCAUUGAGAAUGGCUGUUAAAAUGGUCCAUAUACAUGAUUUUAAGGAGGGUGAGAGGGUGUUGAGUAGACUCACCAGGGGAGGAAGGAAAUACAAUGGGCCAGCAUUUUCAGCAGGCCAAUGGCCAUCACUAGCCUGCAAAGCUGAAAAGAAAUGGGCACCCCUUCUCACUGCUGCUGUGGCUGUCUCAUAUGUAAUUUCUUCACCAUCCCCAACCUUCGCUUGUGGUAUUGUUUGUUUGAAAUUUUUCUCUCUCAAAAACUGCAGUUUAUUUAUUUAUUUUUUUUGGCCAAAUGAAAUGGGAGUUAGUGAAGAACAAGUUUAAAAGAAAAGGUAAAUUAACCUCAAUAGUAAGCAUCUAUUUAUACAAUUGUUCGAAGCUAAGAGAAUCAAGAUAGAGUUGCAAUUGUUAAAGAGCAUAAUAUGUAUUUUGGGUCCAAAUGCUACAAACUUAACCUUUUAGGAAAUUAGUUGUUCAUCAUGGUAUCAAAGCUCGAUUUUGGAAUGGGUCUUACCUUUCAUUGUCUGACAAUCUGAUUGAUGGUGUCUCAACCAGCUCAAAAGAAAAGAAAAGAAAAGGUAAAUUAAGCUCAAUAGUAAGCAUCUAUUUAUACAGUUGUUCCAAGCUCAGAGAAUCAAGAUAGAGCUCACAAUUGUUAAAGCACAUAAUAUAUAUUUUGGGUUCAAAUCCUACAAACUCAACCUUUUAGGAAAUUAGUUGUUCAAUAUGAUAUCAAAACUUGGUUUUGGAAUUGGUCUCACCUCUCAUUAUCUAGCAAUUUGGUCGAUGGUCUCUUAACCUAGGGCCUGGUGUAUGAGGGGAAUAUUGUUGGGUUUUCCCAUAUCUCUUAUAGAAGGAAUUGGGUGACUCCUUAUCAGUGUGAGGGAAAAUAUCUCCCUUUAAGUUAAUUUUUAGGGUGAUAAGGCCCAAAAUCACCCAAUAGUAGUAUCCCUAAUAUAUCCUCUCUUUUUUUUUGGUUUUACUUUAUGAUAUCUUAACCUCAUUAGGUGGGAGGUGAGCCUCAUAUGGUGGCACACUAUGGGCACCUUGUUUGAUGAAGUCAAGUGGUAUCAAUACAUGUUUUUUUUUUCCCAAUUCAUUAAGUUCAAGUGUAAGCCCGAAAAUAGAAGCUAGGCAUGUAUGAGGGAGAGGAAGGGUGUUAUAGAGAGAGAGAGAGAGAGGUGGGAGGUGAGCCUCAUAUGGUGGCCCACUAUGGUCACCUUGAUCGAUGAAGUCAAGUGGUAGAGAGAGAGAGAGAGAGAGAGGUGGGAGGUGAGCCUCAUAUGGUGGCCCACUAUAGUCACCUUGAUCGAUGAAGUCAAGUGGUAGAGAGAGAGAGAGAGAGGUGGGAGGUGACCCUCAUAUGGUGGCCCACUAUAGUCACCUUAGAGAGGUGGGAGGUGAGCCUCAUAUGGUGGCCCACUAUGGUCACCUUGAUCGAUGAAGUCAAGUGGUAUCAAUACAUGUUUCUUUUCCCAAUUUAUUAAGUUCGCAUGUAAGCCCGAAAAUAGAAGCUACACAUGUACGAGGGAGUGGGAGGGUGUUAGAGAGAGAGAGAGAGAGAGAGAGGGUAAUCAAACAUAUGGAAACGAAUUAAAUAAGAAAGCUAGCUAUGUAGCUAGACUACGUAAAAGAAGGAGUAUGUAUGCAUGGAAGACAUGUACGUUCAUUUAAAAACGGGAAUCUAGGAUGCAGAUGACAGAUAAAUAUCUGUUGUGAUAUCAAGACUAGAGAUAGAUGGGAUCAAACCACCUGCAUCCGCCAAAGGAGGUCGCUGCUGGGCUUAACCUGAAACCGGUUUUUCCAGAAAUUCUCACGAGCUGCUUCGACCUCAGCUCGCUCUUCUGUGGUUCCAUAGUCAGGAUCAAACUCCCAUAUCUGUCUUCCCACGAAGUUGUUGGUGCUGUAGAUGUAGGGAUCAUUGCCUCCAUCUGCAACCUUGAGCCUCCACAUUUUCUAACGCACCAAACAGACGAGAUAUAUCUCUAUGUAUAUCUAAGUUUACAAAUAUGUGCGUCUCCCUUCCGAAAACACCUGCUGAUCAUGAAAUCACCAGAAAGGUAAGACAAGCUUUUCUUUGCAGUAAAAUUAAGUUAAAAUGAUACAGACCAAGGACAGAGAGAUAGGUGCUGGGUGGGCAGAGAAGAGAGAGACUUCAGAAACUUGGAAUGGCGAGUUCCAGGUGGGAAUCACUC
rnacentral:lncRNA from 1 species